rnacentral:rRNA from 1 species
CCCUAGUAAUGGCGAAUGAAGCGGGAAGAGCUCAAAUUUAAAAUCUGCGUCGCCUGCGACGCCGAAUUGUAGUUUCGAGAAGCACCUUCUCGGCGGGUCCGGGGCCGUCCAAGUUGCUUGGAACAGCACGUCAUAGAGGGUGACAACCCCGUCUGUGGCGGAACCGGCCGCUAACGAUGUGCUUUCGACGAGUCGGGUUGUUUGGGAAUGCAGCCCAAAAUGGGUGGUAAACUCCAUCUAAAGCUAAAUACUGGCACGAGACCGAUAGCGAACAAGUACCGUGAGGGAAAGAUGAAAAGCACUUUGAAAAGAGAGUUAAACAGUACGUGAAACCGUUAAAAGGGAAACGGAUGGGGUCAGCAAUGCGCUCCGCGAGAUUCAGCCGGGCGGAGCGUCGGGCGGGCGGCACGCGGAUCCGAAUGGACCGCGGCCGUCCGGUUCGGCGCUGCGACCGUCGCACUUCUCGCGAGCGCGCGCCAGCGUCGGUUGGGACUGGGUCUGAAAGUGUGCGGGCAAGGUAGGCCGCGUUUCCCUGACCGGGCGCGACUGUUACAGGCCCGCCUCGCGUGGCCCGGACCCGACCGAGGCGUCGCGGCUCGUGCCUCCCCUCGGGGUCUGGCUGGGGUCCCGUCCUUCCGGUCGGCGGUCGAAUGCGGUGGACUGCGUGCAGUGCGCCGCGACCGCCGUCGGUCGCUCGGGCGGUGAUCUCGCACUUACGUGCCAAGGACGCUGGCGGUCAAAUGGCCUCAUUCGACCCGUCUUGAAACACGGACCAAGGAGUCUAACAUGUGCGCGAGUCUUCGAGUGAAUGAAGCUCGCCGGCGCAAUGAAAGUGAAGGCGGCCCCCGUGCCGCCGAGGCGAGAGCCCCCCCGUCAGGGCGGGGCGCAUCGUCGACCGACCUAUUCCGCUCUCGGGAAGGUUUGAGUGGGAGCGCACCUGUUGGGACCCGAAGA